CUAUGCUAAUGGAUAUUGGAAACCAAUGAUCAUUUGAAAUUACCAAAUACAAUUGCAACAAAUAUAUUUGGUGAUGUCAAUGACCAGUUAUUUAUUUUGCAGUUACUCUCUAAAUAAAGGAAACACAGGCAUUACAUGCUAACAUCAUGCUAACAUAAUAAAAUGACUUUGUUGCAAGAGCUUUAUUUGUUCAUUUAAUUUUUUUUU